rnacentral:lncRNA from 1 species
GUCUCCUUGCUGCUUCUUCCUCCUGGCCUCAUUUAGUUGCACUGGAUUGAUUGUUGUCGAGGGUUACUCUGUUGCCGUGGACGAUGUCUGACUGUAUGCAGCUCACGCUAGCUCUUUGUAGGAUUGGUUUUUAUACGGAACUGAUUGGAGUGAGGAUGGUGGCUGUCAGCUGACUGUAUUCAACUUGGCAAAGACUUACAGUUCAUCACAUUUACAAGGUAAUGAUUACUAUUAUUUUUGUUUAUAGCUGUUGGAUGACCUCUGCAGAAAUAAC